AAGCUCCUAAUGUUGUGUUAAGUGUUGGCAGAUAUCUGAACCACGCCCUAGCGGUUCAGUACUUGAACCCCGGACCUCCUUCCCCCCAUGCGAAGUCCGGGGUUUUUUUUGCCUGCGA
rnacentral:sRNA from 2 species